GUGCUCGCUUCGGCAGCACAUAAACUAGAAUUGGAACGAUACAGAGAAGGUUAGCGUGGCUCUUACACAAGGAUGACGUGCAAAUUCGUAGAGCAUUACAAUUGAUUA
ensembl:snRNA U6 U6 spliceosomal RNA